rnacentral:Y_RNA from 1 species
GGCCUCCCAAAGUGCUGGGAUUACAGCCAUGAACCAUAGCGCCCGUCCAAACUCCUUGUUCUAUUCUUUCCCCCUUCUCACUACUGCAGUUGACUAGUCUUUA